GAUGAACGCUAGCUACAGGCUUAACACAUGCAAGUCGAGGGGUAACGAGAGGGAAGCUUGCUUUCCUUGUCGACGACCGGCGCACGGGUGAGUAACGCGUAUCCAACCUGCCCCCAACUAGGGAAUAACCUUGCGAAAGUAAGACUAAUACCCUAUAAUCUCCUCAGAUGACAUCUGACGAGGAAUAAAGAUUUAUCGGUUGUGGAUGGGGAUGCGUCUGAUUAGCUUGUUAGCGGGGUAACGGCCCACCAAGGCAACGAUCAGUAGGGGUUCUGAGAGGAAGGUCCCCCACAUUGGAACUGAGACACGGUCCAAACUCCUACGGGAGGCAGCAGUGAGGAAUAUUGGUCAAUGGGCGAAAGCCUGAACCAGCCAAGUAGCGUGCAGGAUGACGGCCCUAUGGGUUGUAAACUGCUUUUAUACAGGAAUAAAGUUGGCCACGUGUGGUUAUUUGUAGGUACUGUAUGAAUAAGGACCGGCUAAUUCCGUGCCAGCCGCCGCCGUAA
rnacentral:rRNA from 1 species